CGUCUCUCAUUUACAACCAAUUAAACUCCCGGGAUAAAACUUAAAUAUCUCCUUCUUUUCAAGAUUUGAGGCACUUUCAAAUGCAGACGCUGGUUCAGGUAAAUUCGGAUAUGAUAUCUUGAUUCAAAUAAGACUACGACAGGUACAGCUAGUCUAUCAAAAUGUUUGUUAUUUAUUUAAUAUUUGAGUAUAGUAAAUUCUCAUCUUGUGUUUUACACAACCGUCUUAGUUUACACUGAUGAUUGUCUUGCACAAAUAUUUACCCCAGCCGCAUUAUGACCCACCGACCCAAAGGGUACCUGGGGAAAUAAAUAUGUCAUCUUUGUCUUCUUUCGGCCGGCAGUAAAAUCUUAGGUUUGGGAUUUUCCAUCCAACGCCUUGUGUAGAGAGUACGACGCCCUCUGCACGUUAAGAACCAUUACAACAACUAUCGGAUUGUCCCUGUGGUGGCAUUUUGAGUUUUAUUUUCCUAUGCCAGUCUUAAUCCCUCUCCCUACCAUCAACUGAUCCCGAUCAACCCUUAAAAUAGAUUGUUAAUUACCAAUGAUCAGUAUUGAAUUUCCAUCAACAAAUCAAUCAUGUUGCAUUUGCAUCAGUUUAUGCAUUUUGAUCCCCUUUUUUAUGUUAAAAAAGUGCAGAAUUCGGAGGUUCCUACUUUAAAGCUAAUAUUCUUAUCGUGCUGACAAUUUUUAAGAUUGUAAACAAUUUGGAAGACCAAACCUUUUGUGUUUCAAAAAGCAUUUAGCUUCUAACUUUGGUAACGUUGAAUUUGUAUUUCACACCACACUUCAUUUUGAAUGAUAGUUCACUCGUGCCUAACAAGUUC
rnacentral:lncRNA from 1 species